rnacentral:lncRNA from 1 species
GAAAUACAAUACUGCUUGGCGGUUAAGAACAUGGCUUGGGGGAGUCAGAGCUCCAGUGUUAAUCGACUACCUCCUCAUGAAUGACCUCGGGCCAUCAUAUCCUUUCUCGUGAGAAUUUGAACCAAGAGACACAAUCAUGGGAAUGUGUCACAUUAACUGAAGAGCAAUGGGGAGAAGAUUGUGAAUGCCUGGAACUGAGUUCUCUGGAGAUGACCUUCUUCCCAUCUUUCCUGGGGUCUAGUUCCUUGAUCUACAAGAAGCCCCAGUAUCCUUCCAACAAAUUUCACUUUUUGUUUAAGCAAACUAAUGUGGCCUUUACUAUAUACAAGAAAAUUGUACAUAUUUACUAAUACAAUACAAUUCAGUUCAGUCGCUCAGUCGCGUCCGACUCUUUGUGACCCCACGAAUCACAGCAUGCCAGGCUCCCCUGUCCAUCACCAACUCCCAGACUUCACUCAGACUCACGUCCAUAGAGUCAGUGAUGCGAUCCAGCCAUCUCAUCCUCUGUCGUCCCCUUC